rnacentral:rRNA from 1 species
GACGAACGCUGGCGGCGUGCUUAACACAUGCAAGUCGAACGGAAAGGCCCUGCUUUUGUGGGGUGCUCGAGUGGCGAACGGGUGAGUAACACGUGAGUAACCUGCCCUUGACUUUGGGAUAACUUCAGGAAACUGGGGCUAAUACCGGAUAGGAGCUCCUGCUGCAUGGUGGGGGUUGGAAAGUUUCGGCGGUUGGGGAUGAACUCGCGGCUUAUCAGCUUGUUGGUGGGGUAGUGGCUUACCAAGGCUUUGACGGGUAGCCGGCCUGAGAGGGUGACCGGCCACAAUGGGACUGAGAUACGGCGCAGACGCCUACGGGGGGCAGCAGUGGGGAAUAUUGCACAAUGGGCGGAAGCCUGAUGCAGCAACGCCGCGGGUGGGAUGACGGCCUUCGGGUUGUAAACCGCUUUCGCCUGUGACGAAGCGUGAGUGACGGUAAUGGGUAAAGAAGCACCGGCUAACUACGUG